GGUUUGCACAGAACCUUUACCGAAAGAUUGCGUACCAAGUAUUGUUGCCCGACGAUGAUCUUGCAAAGCACCUGCAACAAUUUCAGAAGCACUAGCAGAACCACCAUUGAUUAAAACAAUAAGCGGUUUGCCAUUUGUAAUAUCACCUGGUUUAGCAUCAAACCGCAUAACUUCCGAUUGGUCGCGUCCACGUGUUGAAACAAUCUCGCCCUUAUCCAAGAAGGCAUCAGACACAUUAACCGCCUGAUCAAGCAAACCACCCGGAUUGAGACGUAA
rnacentral:ncRNA from 1 species